rnacentral:lncRNA from 1 species
AAAAAGAUCCAGUGAUUGAUGUUUCAAGUGCAUAGUGAUUUUAGAUCAUGAGAAGUGCAACUUGCAUAAGAAUAACAGAAUGAUGCUUGACAAGAGAUAUAAAUAUAAGCAAACUUAUAUGUAUCACAACAUCAUAUCAUUUUUUGUGCCACUUAGAAAUAAGGAACCUAACUGCAAACAUGGUACCACCACAAUCUAUAUACUACAUUAAUCACACUAUAUAGAAAUUUGCUAAUUAUAGAAGGCCUUCAAUUUUAGUUGCCGGAGUAUAUGGAAAUUUGGCAAUUAUGUCCCUACAUUCAACAGAGAAAUCGUUAUGUCAGAAUGGUUAAAACAGUUUCUUAGGGUGAGCACAAAUUUGAACGCAUGACAGGACAGUAGGCAGUAGUGAACUUGAGUUCGUUGAAAAAGAAAAAAAGAAAAAUCACAAUAGCACAUUUAGGGCAGUAGAGAGACAGAGCUCCAAUCUCUCCCUUUUGAACAAACGAGCAACAAACAUAGUGCCUCAAAACAAUCUGCUCUGAAUAAUUUACAACACCCAAUGGUGAUUUGGCAUAGGGGCAUAGGGCAGUGCAUGGUGAAAUGCAAAGCGGUGAUCUUGUAUUACUCGACAGGCGCAGAGCAAUAAACACAGCGAGUGGCGCCUCUGCACGCCGCGCACCGCAGCGGAGGUGUUUGCCAUAAAAAAUUAUUACAUUCUGAAUUUGCCAUGAAAAAAAACUGAGAUUACACUGGUAAGCGUUCUUGUGUCACUGCUUGUCAGGUAACCAUUUUUCAUACCUAUGCAAUGAGACCAUGUAG